AGUGGAAUAGCUGGGUCAAAUGAUGGUUCCAUUCCCAGUUUUCUGAGGAAUCUCUAAAACUACUUUCCAGGGUGGUUGCACCAAUUUUCAGUCCCACCAGCAAU
rnacentral:pre_miRNA from 1 species